UCUUUCUCAGAUGAAAGGGCGCCGGUUUUUGGUUGAAGGGUUAUGUAAUUGAUGAUUUUGUCAUCGUCGCUCAUCUGUUUCACGAGACAGAAGAAUCAUGACCCGAACUGCAACAACAAUAACUCUGUUUCCUUACUCAGCCAUGUUCCAGAACGACAAACUCAUCCAUGUUUUCUCUUAUCUCAUCCAUGUUCAACGACAAACUCAUCCAUGUUUUCUCUUAUCUCAUCCAUGUUCCGAUCACCUUUCUAUCGAUUCUUUUCACUCUUUCACUAAUUUGCUAUUGGCGGUGCAGAUUCUGAUCGUAUUCAUCAAUUGUAGAUUGCAGAACUUUCAAUUUCGUUUCUGGGUAGCUGCGCUUGAACCACAGCAAAUGCAGUGAUUGGAUCGAAAGAAACAACAUGGUUGAAUCUAACUCAAGAUUGCAGAACUUUCAAUUUCGUUUCUGGGUAGCUGCGCUUAAACCACAGCA